AUACGGAGGGGGCUAGCGUUGUUCGGAAUUACUGGGCGUAAAGCGCGGGCAGGUGGUCUGUUAAGUCGUUUGUGAAAAUCCGGGGCUCAACCCCGCGAAAUGCAAGCGAUACUGGCAGACUGGAGAUCUGUAGAGGCUAGCGGAAUUCCUGGUGUAGCGGUGGAAUGCGUAGAUAUCAGGAAGAACACCAGUGGCGAAGGCGGCUAGCUGGGCCGAGUCUGACACUCAGCCGCGAAAGCGUGGGGAGCAAACAGAAUUAGAAACCCGAGUAGUCC
rnacentral:rRNA from 1 species